AGUGAACGCUGGCGGUAGGCCUAACACAUGCAAGUCGAACGGCAGCACAGUAAGAGCUUGCUCUUACGGGUGGCGAGUGGCGGACGGGUGAGGAAUACAUCGGAAUCUACUUUUUCGUGGGGGAUAACGUAGGGAAACUUACGCUAAUACCGCAUACGACCUACGGGUGAAAGCAGGGGAUCUUCGGACCUUGCGCGAUUGAAUGAGCCGAUGGCGGAUUAGCUAGUUGGCGGGGUAAAGGCCCACCAAGGCGACGAUCCGUAGCUGGUCUGAGAGGAUGAUCAGCCACACUGGAACUGAGACACGGUCCAGACUCCUACGGGAGGCAGCAGUGGGGAAUAUUGGACAAUGGGCGCAAGCCUGAUCCAGCCAUACCGCGUGGGUGAAGAAGGCCUUCGGGUUGUAAAGCCCUUUUGUUGGGAAAGAAAAGCAGCAGGUUAAUACCCCGCUGUUCUGACGUUACCCAAAGAAUAAGCACCGGCUAACUUCGUG
rnacentral:rRNA from 1 species